rnacentral:rRNA from 1 species
UACGAAGGGGGCUAGCGUUGCUCGGAAUCACUGGGCGUAAAGGGCGCGUAGGCGGCCAUUCAAGUCGGAGGUGAAAGCCCAGGGCUCAACCCCGGAAUUGCCUUCGAUACUGUUUGGCUAGAGACCGGAAGAGGUAAGUGGAACUGCGAGUGUAGAGGUGAAAUUCGUAGAUAUUCGCAAGAACACCAGUGGCGAAGGCGGCUUACUGGUCCGGUUCUGACGCUGAGGCGCGAAAGCGUGGGGAGCAAACAGG